GAUGAACGCUGGCGGCGUGCCUAAUACAUGCAAGUCGAGCGAACGGACGAGAAGCUUGCUUCUCUGAUGUUAGCGGCGGACGGGUGAGUAACACGUGGAUAACCUACCUAUAAGACUGGGAUAACUUCGGGAAACCGUAGCUAAUACCGGAUAAUAUUUUGAACCGCAUGGUUCAAAAGUGAAAGACGGUCUUGCUGUCACUUAUAGAUGGAUCCGCGCUGCAUUAGCUAGUUGGUAAGGUAACGGCUUACCAAGGCAACGAUGCAUAGCCGACCUGAGAGGGGGGACGGGCCCACUGGGACCUGAGACCGGGCCACAAUCCCUGGGGGGGGCAAGGAGAGGGAUUCCCGCAGAAGGGGCGAGGGCGAGAGGGGGCACCGCCGGGUGAGGGUUGAUGUUCUUGGGAUCGUAAAACUCUUUUUUGAGGGAAAAAAAGAUGUGUAAGAACUUGGGCAUGUCUUGGGGGCCCCUACUCAGAAGGCCACGGAUAAAUCGGCC
rnacentral:rRNA from 1 species